UGAGUCUAAUCUCCCCUAGAACCCUUUGAUUAUGCUAAUUUUAAAGUGUUUUGGGGGGAUAGGAGUCAGU